UACGCAAGUAAUUGGGACAUAUAGCAAACCCAGAUGCGUAAUGAAAGUAAAAUUACUGGGGGCCGUGCGGGCGGGCAGGUCAUUUGCCGCAAGGUCAUUUGCACAUUGCCCGCUGCUGUGCGGUCCCCUAAGGGAGGAUGGGCCGGUCCCUAGUUGGUCGGCCCCGCACUCCCGGGGCGUCUCGUGUUCAUUGCGAACUGAGGCGCACCAAGAGCGUACACGCUGGGACCCGAAAGAUGGUGAACUAUGCCUGGUCAGGACGAAGUCAGGGGAAACCCUGAUGGAGGUCCGUAGCGAUUCUGACGUGCAAAUCGAUCGUCGGAACUGGGUAUAGGGGCGAAAGACUAAUCGAACCAUCUAGUAGCUGGUUCCCUCCGAAGUUUCCCUCAGGAUAGCUGGCGCUCAAUAUAUUUUAAUAAGUGCGGUCGGUCCCUAUACGGGGCGCGCACAAUGAACGAGUUUCAUCCGGUAAAGCGAAUGAUUAGAGGCAUUGGGGUCGAAACGACCUCAACCUAUUCUCAAACUUUAAAUGGGUGAGAUCUCCGGCUUACUUGAUCAUAUAUCACAUACUACAACAUUUGUAUUCAUUUACUUAUGGUGUGUGUGUGUGUGUGUGUGUGAAGCCGCGAGAAAAGAAUCAGAGUGCCAAGUGGGCCACUUUUGGUAAGCAGAACUGGCG
rnacentral:rRNA from 1 species